rnacentral:rRNA from 1 species
AUUGAACGCUGGCGGCGUGCCUAACACAUGCAAGUCGAGCGGUAACAGGUGUAGCAAUACAUGCUGACGAGCGGCGGACGGGUGAGUAACGCUUGGGAAUCUGCCUGUUAGUGGGGACGAACCCGGGAAACGUCGGCGUAAUACGCAUACGCACUACGGUGGAAAGCCGGGGACCGGCAAGGCCUGGCGCUAACAGAUGAGCCCAACGUCGGAUUAGCUAGUUGGUAGGGUAACGGCCACCAAGGCGACGAUCCGUAACUGUCUGAGAGGACGACCAGUCACACCGGAACUGAGACACGGUCCGGA